CGCAUUCUCGCAGGACUCAAACGGCUGCGACUGCCAUCGUUCCGCGAAAUAAAGGACGCGUUUCCGAAAGCGAUCGACGUUUGAUGUUUCGCGCGCCCACAUAGGAGAAUGUCCCGGACAUUUCGGCUCCGUCGCUAACUGAAACUUCAGGACUCGCGGCCGUAAAGCCCUUCGCUUCGAGCGAACGAUUUUUGACAACAAGAAGAGACGAAAAAGGAUGUGGGAAAAGGGAUUGUGUACAGUCAGUCGCACAAGAGUGUAUACACCGCAUCGUACGGUCCUGUGUGCAAUAGGUUGCUGGAUCCUGGCGGGUUUGAAAACGGGAGGCGUCGAGUUCAUUUCGUCAUAUAGUAGAUGUGCCAGUAACGUUUCACAUUCAACGCAGACAUAAUCCGAGAUGAAUGAGGUAUAUUGGAAAUGUUUUGAAGCUGUGUUUUUGUGUUCGCAUCCGAAAGGCCCACAAAUGUCGUACAAAGAAGCUGCUAGGUAUAUCGGACGAUAAAAAGCAUUCAUCCAGAAGUGAAUGACGCGGUUUAAAACUAGUCACAAUGUCGACGAUUUUCCAAAGGGCGGGAAAACACGAGCCACGACACCGCACGAUAAUAAGUGCAUCAUGGAGUGUUCCGAACGAAUUUAUAAUUAACUCUGCGAUAAGUUCGAAAACUCUUGGAUAGGGUUCUCGAAAAAGAACGUGAAAGUUAGUCUGAUGACAAUCAAGCGCCGUUUGCGAGAGUUAGGACUUGCAUGGCGAGGUAAACGCGAGAAAAACUUUUGCUUAGCCGAAAACACAUUGAAAAACGAAUGUCAUGGGAAUCCAGCAGAAAACGUUUGGGCGUUUAUGAAAAGGAAACUUCAGAUGUGGCAUGUACGCUUUCGCGGGACAGACUAUACAAAGUCUCAACUGAGAUUUUCUCUCAAAUAUUUGAAAUCGAGACGAUUUGAAACUUACAUAAUUCUCCUUCUCUUCUUCUUCUAAAAUUUGCAUUUCUUUCAUUGCACCACUUUUCUUGCCGUAUAAUGCAUCGCAGCAGUUUAUCUCAAUUAUAAAAAUAUCGAAGAGAUAUGUACGAUGUAGAUAUAGUGCG